AGGUUUCGGACGAAACGGGAGUUGAGGUUUGGCGAGCGUAAAAGGAAAGAAAGGUACAGACGACAGGUUUGCUGAUCCGCCCGCUUAGGACUUUGUUCUGCUAUUUUGGAGCGCUCUUUUAUCCGGAGCCUAUAUUUUGGUAUAGUAUUCUACUAUUGUAUAUAUGUACGCUAUUCAGGGGUACGACGGGGCCCUGUCCCAUCUUAUGUUUCUGUUAUUACUGUUCGUAGAGGUCUGUAGACACAUAUGUGGGUUGUGUAUAUGUUCUGGGAAAUACGUAUUCUGUGAUGGCCUUAUCGGCUUCUGUGCGCUACAUCUGCUUAUGUACGAUAGCUUGUGACUCCGUUUGGCUUUAUA